GUGUGAUCAGUCAACUUCUAAAAAGCUGAAUCUGUGCUGAAAUGCUAGGCUCAGAGGCUGUUUGCUGCCCAUGGAGGGAAAUCCCACCUGAUUGUCCUGACCUCACUUCCAGUUCCACACUCAAGAGACACAUCCCUGUGCACAUCUUGUUCACUAUACUUCAGUUUUGUUUUGGACUUGCUCUGUAAAGAUUUCUAUAUUGCAUAAUUUUUUGCAUUUUUUUCCAAGUAUAUAGGGUGGACACCCCAAACUUUCAUAUUUCUACUAAUAACAAUAAACUAUAAAGUUUAAAUAAUGCCUACAGUGAUGAGAUAAGAAAUGUAUCCUGAGUUUCAUAGAAUGCUUCUGAAGCAUAUUGUUAUUUUUUCAAUUGAGAUGUGUUCUGGUGUCAUGAUUUGCUUCCAAAUAAAUUAUAAUAAAAAGAAA